CACGCGCCACGCGGACUGCAAAAGUGCAACCUUUACAACUUUCAACUCGCGCCCACCAAAGCGCCCAUCACCGGUAUAUUUUCCAGUCUAAUUCCCUCACAAUUUCAUUGUAUUCCCUACUACCCCUGCACAAUCCCUACAAUUUCAUCCCUAUCCCGCCAGACCGUUUUUCUCUACCACGUCCUGCCUUAUGACCUGUUUGCCUAUACCCUUACAGUCGCUCCCCCACUCUCUCUCAAAUUCACAUUCUCACUCUCGUCUCCUUAAUUUCUCACAAUUAACCCUAAUUUAUUUUCCAUUCAGAACCCUAAUUUCCCCCUCUUGUAUGAUUACUUGACUAGCCUCCAAAAUCUCCGUAAAGCCAUAGUUUUUUUUUUUUUUGCCUUUGUAGAAAAUUUCCCGACGAAAAGAAUUCUUCAAUUUCUGCUCAAGAAUUGUCUAUUCCCCUAUUUGUGCUCCCUCAUUUUGAACGAAUUCAAACCCUAGGUAGAUUUUCUUGGGGGAGUUUAGCAAAUUCUGCGCAGGCUCCAUAGAAACCCGCAUGAUAAAGCUCGG
rnacentral:misc_RNA from 1 species